UACAGAGGUCCCAAGCGUUGUUCGGAUUCAUUGGGCGUAAAGGGCGCGUAGGCGGCCUUCUAAGUCGGACGUGAAAUCCCUCGGCUUAACCGAGGAACUGCGUCCGAUACUGAAAGGCUUGAAUCCGGGAGAGGGAUGUGGAAUUCCAGGUGUAGCGGUGAAAUGCGUAGAUAUCUGGAGGAACACCGGUGGCGAAGGCGGCAUCCUGGACCGGCAUUGACGCUGAGGCGCGAAAGCUAGGGGAGCAAACGGG
rnacentral:rRNA from 1 species